UACGUAGGGGGCAAGCGUUGUCCGGAUUUAUUGGGCGUAAAGAGCGUGUAGGCGGCCAGAUAGGUCAGCUGUGAAAACUCGAGGCUCAACCUCGAGACGUCGGUUGAAACCAUCUGGCUAGAGUCCGGAAGAGGAGAGUGGAAUUCCCGGUGUAGCGGUGAAAUGCGCAGAUAUCGGGAAGAACACCCGUGGCGAAGGCGGCUCUCUGGGGACGGUACUGACGCUGAGAC
rnacentral:rRNA from 1 species